rnacentral:rRNA from 1 species
GAUGAACGCUGGCGGCGUGCCUAACACAUGCAAGUCGAGCGUGAUUAAGUGGAGUGAGGACUUCGGUCUGAGUGAAACUUAUGAAAGCGGCGGACGGGUGAGUAACGCGUGGGCAACCUGCCCCAUACAAAGGGAUAGCCACUGGAAACGGUGAUUAAUACCUUAUAAGUCGGUAGUCUCGCAUGAGAUAGCCGACAAAGAUUUAUCGGUAUGGGAUGGGCCCGCGUCUGAUUAGCUAGUUGGUGAGGUAACGGCUCACCAAGGCGACGAUCAGUAGCCGACCUGAGAGGGUGAUCGGCCGCACUGGAACUGAGACACGGUCCAGACUCCUACGGGAGGCAGCAGUGGGGAAUAUUGCACAAUGGGCGCAAGCCUGAUGCAGCAACGCCGCGUGAGUGAAGAAGGACCUUCGGGUUGUAAACGUACUAGUCCUACUGGGAAGAAACAAAUAGACGGUACCGACUGGGAGGAAGGACCCGGCGUAACUACGUAGCCAGCAC